rnacentral:piRNA from 1 species
UAAAUGUAACACAUUUGCAGAAACCACGC